rnacentral:lncRNA from 1 species
UCGUCUCCAAAACUUCCAAAACUCUCCAAAAAUUCUCCUAAGCUUUCCAGAAAUUCAAAAUCAUGACAAAUACCCAAGAUAAUCCUAGAACUCCAUCUCGCGUUUCACCAAACUCCACUCUAUCUACUUCACCUCCCAUAGAAACCCCAAAACCUAGAUUCCGUCGCCAGAAAAUGCUAACAAGAAAAAUUGUAGCUACUGGUUACCUUAGGAAAUCCUUGAAUGCAAAACUACAAUCCAGUCAAAGGAAGCAAGACUCAGCAACAGAGACAAAUUCAAACUCUAACUCUGAUGAUUUCCUCUCUGCCAGUGAGGGAGAUGAACCUGGGUCUUCUGACAUUGUCACACAUCAAGAAACCCCAAAAGAGGUAAAUACUUGCUUUGUUCUUGUUGAUGUAGUUCAAAGGUAGAGAAUAGGUUUGUUCUGAUAGGGGCUGCAAAAGAUGUGUUCGAUACUGAUUCUACCAAAUUGAAGAAGAAAAGGAGGAAUGAGGUGCUAUCUAUUUGUGGAAAUAGGGAAGAGGGGGUCUCUAUGUCAGGGGGAAGUGAAUCAGGAAAGGCUGCUGAAGGGUUAGUUGACUUAAGCAAACAACCAAUGGAGGAGACCUUGGUUGAGAUGUUGAAACAAGUUGGGGCAAGCUAUGAUCCCAAGAAACGCAAG